rnacentral:rRNA from 1 species
GAGUUUGAUCAUGGCUCAGAUUGAACGCUGGCGGCAUGCCUUACACAUGCAAGUCGAACGGCAGCAUGAUCUAGCUUGCUAGAUUGAUGGCGAGUGGCGAACGGGUGAGUAAUACAUCGGAACGUGCCCUGUAGUGGGGGAUAACUAGUCGAAAGAUUAGCUAAUACCGCAUACGACCUGAGGGUGAAAGUGGGGGACCGCAAGGCCUCAUGCUAUAGGAGCGGCCGAUGUCUGAUUAGCUAGUUGGUGGGGUAAAGGCCCACCAAGGCGACGAUCAGUAGCUGGUCUGAGAGGACGAUCAGCCACACUGGGACUGAGACACGGCCCAGACUCCUACGGGAGGCAGCAGUGGGGAAUUUUGGGUAAUGGGGGCAACCCUGAUCCAGCAAUGCCGCGUGUGUGAAGAAGGCCUUCGGGUUGUAAAGCACUUUUGUCCGGAAAGAAAUCGCACUUACUAAUAUUAGGUGUGGAUGACGGUACCGGAAGAAUAAGGACCGGCUAACUACGUGCCAGCAGCCGCGGUAAUACGUAGGGUCCAAGCGUUAAUCGGAAUUACUGGGCGUAAAGCGUGCGCAGGCGGUUGUGCAAGACCGAUGUGAAAUCCCCGGGCUUAACCUGGGAAUUGCAUUGGUGACUGCACGGCUAGAGUGUGUCAGAGGGGGGUAGAAUUCCACGUGUAGCAGUGAAAUGCGUAGAGAUGUGGAGGAAUACCGAUGGCGAAGGCAGCCCCCUGGGAUAACACUGACGCUCAUGCACGAAAGCGUGGGGAGCAAACAGGAUUAGAUACCCUGGUAGUCCACGCCCUAAACGAUGUCAACUAGUUGUUGGGGAUUCAUUUCCUUAGUAACGUAGCUAACGCGUGAAGUUGACCGCCUGGGGAGUACGGUCGCAAGAUUAAAACUCAAAGGAAUUGACGGGGACCCGCACAAGCGGUGGAUGAUGUGGAUUAAUUCGAUGCAACGCGAAAAACCUUACCUACCCUUGACAUGCCACUAACGAAGCAGAGAUGCAUUAGGUGCUCGAAAGAGAAAGUGGACACAGGUGCUGCAUGGCUGUCGUCAGCUCGUGUCGUGAGAUGUUGGGUUAAGUCCCGCAACGAGCGCAACCCUUGUCUCUAGUUGCUACGAAAGGGCACUCUAGAGAGACUGCCGGUGACAAACCGGAGGAAGGUGGGGAUGACGUCAAGUCCUCAUGGCCCUUAUGGGUAGGGCUUCACACGUCAUACAAUGGUGCAUACAGAGGGUUGCCAAGCCGCGAGGUGGAGCUAAUCCCAGAAAAUGCAUCGUAGUCCGGAUCGUAGUCUGCAACUCGACUACGUGAAGCUGGAAUCGCUAGUAAUCGCGGAUCAGCAUGCCGCGGUGAAUACGU